rnacentral:rRNA from 1 species
GACGAACGCUGGCGGCGUGCCUAAUACAUGCAAGUAGAACGCUGAAGGAGGAGCUUGCUUCUCUGGAUGAGUUGCGAACGGGUGAGUAACGCGUAGGUAACCUGCCUGGUAGCGGGGGAUAACUAUUGGAAACGAUAGCUAAUACCGCAUAACAGUAGAUAUCGCAUGAUAUCUACUUGAAAGGUGCAAUUGCAUCACUACCAGAUGGACCUGCGUUGUAUUAGCUAGUUGGUGAGGUAACGGCUCACCAAGGCGACGAUACAUAGCCGACCUGAGAGGGUGAUCGGCCACACUGGGACUGAGACACGGCCCAGACUCCUACGGGAGGCAGCAGUAGGGAAUCUUCGGCAAUGGACGGAAGUCUGACCGAGCAACGCCGCGUGAGGGAAGAAGGGUUUCGGAUCGUAAAGCUCUGUUGUAAGAGAAGAACGAGUGUGAGAGUGGAAAGUUCACACUGUGACGGUAUCUUACCAGAAAGGGACGGCUAACUACGUG